AUUGAACGCUGGCGGAAUGCUUUACACAUGCAAGUCGAACGGCAGCACGGGUGCUUGCACCUGGUGGCGAGUGGCGAACGGGUGAGUAAUACAUCGGAACGUACCCAGUCGUGGGGGAUAACGUAGCGAAAGUUACGCUAAUACCGCAUACGUCCUGAGGGAGAAAGCGGGGGACCGUAAGUCCUCGCGCGAUUUGAGCGGCCGAUGUCUGAUUAGCUAGUUGGUGAGGUAAAGGCUCACCAAGGCGACGAUCAGUAGCUGGUCGUGAGAGGAUGAUCAGCCACACUGGAACUGAGACACGGUCCAGACUCCUACGGGAGGCAGCAGUGGGGAAUUUUGGACAAUGGGCGAAAGCCUGAUCCAGCCAUUCCGCGUGAGUGAAGAAGGCCUUCGGGUUGUAAAGCUCUUUCGGCAGGAACGAAACGCUCUAGAUUAAUACCCUGGGGUAAUGACGGUACCUGAAGAAGAAGCACCGGCUAACUACGUGCCAGCCGCCGCGGUAA
rnacentral:rRNA from 1 species